rnacentral:rRNA from 1 species
ACACAUGCAAGUCGAGGGGUAGUUCCGCUUCGGUGGAAACACGACCGGCGCACGGGUGAGUAUCGCGUUUGAAUCUACCUCUAACUGGGGGAUAGCCCGGAGAAAUUCGGAUUAAUACCCCAUAUUGUUAAAAUUUCGCAUGAAAUUUUGACGAGAGCUCCGGCGGUUAGAGAUAAGCAUGCGUGCCAUUAGUUUGUUGGUGAGGUAACGGCUCACCAAGGCAGCGAUGGCUAGGGGGUCUGAGAGGAUGAUCCCCCACACUGGUACUGAGACACGGACCAGACUCCUACGGGAGGCAGCAGUGAGGAAUAUUGGUCAAUGGGCGAAAGCCUGAACCAGCCAUGCCGCGUGCAGGAUGACGGCCCUAUGGGUUGUAAACUGCUUUUCUGCUCCAAGAACCCCACUUACGUGUAAGUGGUUGACGGUAGAGCAGGAAUAAGCAUCGGCUAACUCCGUGCCAGCAGGCGAGGUAAUACGGAGGAUGCAAGCGUUAUCCGGAUUUAUUGGGUUUAAAGGGUGCGCAGGCGGAUUAAUAAGUCAGUAGUGAAAUCCUGCAGCUUAACUGUAGAAUUGCUAUUGAUACUGUUAAUCUUGAGUACAGUUGAGGUAGGCGGAAUGUAUGAUGUAGCGGUGAAAUGCUUAGAUAUCAUACAGAACACCAAUUGCGAAGGCAGCUUACUAAACUGUAACUGACGCUGAGGCACGAAAGCGUGGGAAGCGAACAGGAUUAGAUACCCUGGUAGUCCACGCUGUAAACGAUGAUCACUCGCUGUUGGCAAUACAUCGUCAGUGGCUGAGCAAAAGCAUUAAGUGAUCCACCUGGGGAGUACGUCGGCAACGAUGAAACUCAAAGGAAUUGACGGGGGCCCGCACAAGCGGUGGAACAUGUGGUUUAAUUCGAUGAUACGCGAGGAACCUUACCUGGGCUUAAAUGCAGAACGACGGUUCCCGAAAGGGAUCCUUCUUCGGACGGACUGCAAGGUGCUGCAUGCUUGUCGUCAGCUCGUGCCGUGAGGUGUCGGCUUAAGUCCCAUAACGAGCGCAACCCCUAUUGUUAGUUGCCAGCGAGUAAUGUCGGGGACUCUGACGAAACAGCCGGUGUAAACCGUGGGGAAGAUGGGGAUGACAGUCAAAUCAGCACGGCCAUUAUGUCCAGGGCUACACACGUGUUACAAUGGUCGGUACAGAGGGCAGCUACUUGGCGACAAGUUGCAAAUCUCUGAUACCGGCCUUAGUUCGGAUUGAAGUCUGCAACUCGACUUCAUGAAGCUGGAAUCGCUAGUAAUCGCGCAUCAGCCAUGGCGCGGUGAAUACGUUCCCGGGCAUUGUACACACCGCCCAUCAAGCCAUGGAAGCUGGGGGU